GAUGAAGAACGCAGUGAAAUGCGAUAAGUAGUGUGAAUUGCAGAAUUCAGUGAAUCAUCGAAUCUUUGAACGCACAUUGCGCCCUCUGGUAUUCCGGGGGGCAUGCCUGUUCGAGCGUCAUUGCAACCCCUCAAGCACAGCUUGUGUGUUGGGCUCUCGUCCCCCGUGGACGGGCCUGAAAUGCAGUGGCAGCACCGAGAUACCGGUGUCUGAGUGUAUGGGCAUUGAUCAUCACUCGAUAGACCCGAUCGGCGCUGACCGUCAAACCACGAUUCCUCGGAAUCAUCCAGUUUUGACCUCGGAUCAGGUAGGAAUACCCGCUGAACUUAAGCAUAUCAAUAAGCGGAGGA
rnacentral:misc_RNA from 1 species